GCUCAGAUGGUUAGAGCGGUGGAUUCAUAACCCACAGGUCGGCGGUUCGAUCCCGCC
rnacentral:tRNA from 1 species